AUAAGUGUAACUGCUGUAUGCUUCUUAUUUAUUUGAUACAUAGUUGAAAAGAGACAUGCAACCAUCAAGUUUACCUUUUCUUACAUCUGUUUUCGCUGUUGAUCCAAAAGAAUGCAAAAAUUCCAGUUUGAAGCGCUUUCCAAAUUUGCAACAAACUAGGAAAACAUUCUUUCUUGACCCCAGAAUGUCAGUCAGAUCUCUCCUUAGAUCAUGAAGAUCACAAAUGAAAAAUUAUAUCCCUGAAUAUUAUGUUUUUGCAAGUAUUCAUCCAGUUGCUGUUUAUACAUCAGUACAGACUCUGAUAAAACCACUUCUUCAGGCUGAGAAUUCCACAUCCUUAAUGUUCUUACUGUAAGAAAUCCUUUCCUUUGCCUUAGACUAAAUCUCCUUUCUUCCAGUCUAAAUGCGUGUCCUAUGUAUAGUCCUGUUUAUAAUUAGAUAAAUUGACAAUAGUCUAUAUUGGCCCCAAAUAUAUUUGUAAAAUGCUAUCAGAUCCCCUCUGAGGUGCCGUUUUUCGAAACUAAGCAGAUUUAAAUUUGUUAACCUUUCUACAUAACUACAAUGUUCCAUUCCUUUUUAUUAAUUUUGUAUCCCACCUCGGCACUUUUUCUACUGCCAUAAUAUCCUUUAGAACAGGUGCCCAAAAUUGCACAAUAUAUUCAAGUUGUGGUAUUACCAGUAAUUUAUAAAGAGUCAAAAUCAUCCGAGAAUGAAUGCCCCUUUUUAUUCAUAACAAUACCUUACUGGCCUUAGCAACUACUGAUUGACAUUGCAAAUUGUUGCCUAGUUUGUUGUCUAUAACAAUACCCAAAUCAUUCUUGUGUGUUGCUAUCCUUAAUUCAUUACCGUUUAGGGUAUAAGUUGCUUGUGCAUUCUACCCAGUCAUAUUAUAAAAGUUUAGAAUGUAUACAUCAUAGCCUCUAAGCAAUCUUCUGUACAUACCACACAUCUAUCCAUAGUCCUUGAACAUUGUACACAAGGCAAAAAUUAAUUGUUAUUUUACUUCCACAAGCUUUGACACUUUAUCAAUUUGCCUUUUGAAACAAUUGGUAUUAUUUGAUAACGUUAAAACAUGUUUUACACAUUAUACAAUGGUAACUUUAAUAAAUUACUUUAUUGAAAUAAAGCAAAUAAAAUCUUUCAACGAGUCAUUAAAAGGGGAAUAUAAAUUGGAAAUGUGCUUUUAUAUACACUGUAUAUACAUAAUAUAUAAGCAGUUUGGGUAUAUAAAGACUAUAGAAUUCGGAGUGUCAUUAAUGCUUGUCUCUGCUGUUAUAUAAUUUUCGAAUUAUGUAACCAAAGGAAUAUACAUGUAUAUCACAUUUAAAAACAAAAUUCUAGCAUUUUAGGCUAUAUUCAAUUCCCAUUAUCAGGG